rnacentral:tRNA from 2 species
GGACUCUUAGAUCAGUCCGGUUAGAUCAGCCGCCUCAUAAGCGGUGUGUCCUCGGUUCAAAUCCGAGAGAGUCCA